GCGCGAGUGGCUCAGUGGUAGAGCAUCGCCUUGCCAAGGCGAGGGUCGCGGGUUCAAAUCCCGUCUCGCGCU
rnacentral:tRNA from 1 species